AUUGAACGCUGGCGGCAUGCCUUACACAUGCAAGUCGAACGGCAGCACGGGGCAACCUGGUGGCGAGUGGCGAACGGGUGAGUAAUGCAUCGGAACGUACCUUUCAGUGGGGGAUAACUUAGCGAAAGUUACGCUAAUACCGCAUAUUCUGUGAGCAGGAAAGCAGGGGAUCGCAAGACCUUGCGCUGAUUGAGCGGCCGAUGUCAGAUUAGCUAGUUGGUGAGGUAAAGGCUCACCAAGGCGACGAUCUGUAGCGGGUCUGAGAGGAUGAUCCGCCACACUGGAACUGAGACACGGUCCAGACUCCUACGGGAGGCAGCAGUGGGGAAUUUUGGACAAUGGGGGCAACCCUGAUCCAGCCAUGCCGCGUGAGUGAAGAAGGCCUUCGGGUUGUAAAGCUCUUUCGGCCGGGAAGAAAUCGCACGGGCUAAUACCCUGUGUGGAUGACGGUACCGGAAUAAGAAGCACCGGUUAACUACGUGCCAGCAGCCGCCGUAACAC
rnacentral:rRNA from 1 species